CACCGCGGUUAUACGGGGGGCCCAAGUUGACAAACAUCACGGCGUAAAGCGUGGUUAAGAUAAUAGACUAAUAGGGCCGAAUAACCUCAAGACAGUUAAAUGUAUUCGAGACCACUAAGCACAUCCACGAAAGUGACCCUAACAGCUCUGACUCCACGAAAGCUAUAACA
rnacentral:rRNA from 1 species